rnacentral:rRNA from 1 species
GAGUGAAGAGGGAUUAGCCCAGCACCGAAGCCUGUGGUCAUUUGACUGCUAGGCAAUGUGGUGUUUAGGUUGGUUCUUGGCAUUACUGCUCCACCCUAAGUCCAGCAAUGAGUACGGCUUACUGGAUUGGCCCAUUGAGGGUGAAAGGCCCGUGUGGGUGGAGAACAGAACAUCAGUUUUGCCCUGAAUUAACCUUGGAGUCGGGUUGUUUGAGAAUGCAGCCCAAAGUGGGUGGUAAACUCCAUCCAAGGCUAAAUACUGGCACGAGUCCGAUAGCGAACAAGUACCGUGAGGGAAAGUUGAAAAGUACUUUGAAGAGAGAGUAAAAAGUUCGUGAACCCGCUCAGAGGUAAACGGGUGGAGUUGAACUAGAAGCCCUGGGGAUUCAGCUGGUGAGUAUGGCAUGAGCUUGGACAUAUUGGUCGGCUUUCAGAGUCCGCUUAGCUGCGGGUCCUUUCCUUAACCGGUUUGGAUGUGCGUUACGCUUAUUAAGCGUUGUGCGCUCUGAUUGUUCCGGGCCUGCUCGCUAGUGCACUUCCUCAGGGUGUUCACCACGACCGUCGCUGCUGUCUGUCUGUUGUGGUUAAACCGGUCAGGUAUAGUCAUUUUGGCUAUGUUUGGUCGGGAUGGCAGGUAGCUCUUGGGUUCUUCUGGCUUCAGUCAGUUGGGCCUAUGGGUGUAAUAAGCCGACUACAAUGGAUCUGUGCAGUGCGUCGGAGCUGGCGGCUUUGGUGUGUGUAUGCGUGCUGUACCUUGCUGGCUUGGUCAGGUCUGAUCGAUGUGUUACCUGCUUCGGUGGGUCUAUCGUUGGCUUGGCUUUGCGUGGUGAGUGGCUGCGCGUACGACACUAGCUAGGGCCUAAAGUCUGUGGUGUUGUGGUAAACGAUCCACCUGACCCGUCUUGAAACACGGACCAAGGAGUUUAACAUGUACGCGAGUCAUUGGGCGUUACGAAACCCAAAGGCGAAGUGAAAGUAAAGGUUCGGCUUGUCCGAGCUGAGGUGAGAUCCUGCUGUUCCUCUGCCUGGAACUACCAAGCACUCGAGCAGUAGGCGCAUCACUGGCCCGUCUCAUGAUGUAGUCAUAUGACCUAUGGUUUUGUGCACCUUCGGGGCGGAGCUUGAGCGUACACGUUGAGACCCGAAAGAUGGUGAACUAUGCCUGCGGAGGUUGAAGCCAGAGGAAACUCUGGUGGAGGACCGCAGCGAUUCUGACGCGCAAAUCGAUCGUCUAACGUGG